GGUCGAACACGGACAGCGCUAUAGGUUUAGCUACCCCUGUGGUCCUGGCCGUUAACUAUGAACACUAUGUGUCGGGGGAAUCGACCCCCUCGGUGUCGUAGCCAACGCGUUAAGUGUUCCGCCUGGGGAGUACGCACGCAAGUGUGAAACUCAUAGGAAUUGACGGGGGCCCGCACAAGCGGUGGAGUAUGUGGUUUAAUUCGAUGCAACGCGAAGAACCUUACCAGGGUUUGACAUCCUGCCAAUCCCUUGGAAACGAGGGAGUGCCUUCGGGAGCGCAGAGACGGGUGGUGCAUGGCUGUCGUCAGCUCGUGUCGUGAGAUGUUGGGUUAAGUCCCGCAACGAGCGCAACCCGCGUCGUUAGUUGCCAGCAUUCUGUUGGGCACUCUAGCGAGACCGCCGGUGAUAAACCGGAGGAAGGAGUGGAUGACGUCAAGUCAUCAUGCCCCUUACAUCCUGGGCUACAACGUACUACAAUGCUACGGACAAAGGGCAGCGAGCUCGCGAGAGUAACCAAAUCCCAUAAACCGUGGCUCAGUUCAGAUCGUAUGCUGCAACUCGCCUACAUGAAGGAGGAAUCGCUAGUAAUCGCAGGUCAGCAUACUGCGGGUGAAUACAUUGCUCUGGGCCUUGUACACACCGCCCGUCACACUAUGGAAGUUGGCCACUCCCUUAAGUCGUUACUACUACCCGCAAGUGUAGGAGGGACGU
rnacentral:rRNA from 1 species